CCCGCUGAGUUUAAGCAUAUCAAUAAGCGUAGGAAAAGAAACUAACAAGGAUUCACUUAGUAACGGUGAGUGAACCGGGAAGAGCCCAACUUGAAAAUCGGACAUCUUCGGCGUUCGAAUUGUAGUCUGGAGAAGCUUCUUCAGCGACGGACCAGACCCAGGUUCGCUGGAAAGGGGCGCUAGAGAGGGUGAGAGCCCCGUCGUGCCCGGACUCUGUUGCACCACGAGGCACUAUCUACGAGUCGGGUUGUUUGGGAAUGCAGCCCCAAUCGGGCAGUCAAUUCCGUCCAAUGCUAAAUAUGGGCGAGAGACCGAUAGCGAACAAGUACCGUGAGGUAAAGAUGAAAAGGACUUUGAAAAGAGAGUCAAAGAGUGCUUGAAAUUGUCGGGAUGGAAGCGGAUUGCGGCCAGCGAUUCAUCCCGGUCGGAUGCCGAACGGAGCAAUCCGUUCUGCCGAUCGAUUCGGGCCGUGGAUCAACACAGAUUAAGGUGGUGACCUAAGCCUGGGCUUUUGUUACGCCCGCGGAGACGUCGCAGCCUUAAUCGUGGUCUGCAGCACGGCCUCACGGCAUGCCUCGGCAUCUGCAUGCUCAGGGCAUCGGCGUGUGGGCUCCCCAUUCGACCCGUCUUGAAACACGG
rnacentral:ncRNA from 2 species